AUUCAGAUACUAGUUCUAGUAGUUUUGGAGUGGAUUCUUCAAUGUUUUUUAUAUACGACAUCAUGUCAUCUGGAAAAAGUGACAGUUUGACUUCUUCCUUACCAAUCUGGAUGCCUUGUAUUUCUUUGUGUUAUCUGAUUGCUGUGGCUAGGACCUUCAAUCCUAUGUUGAAUAAAAGCGGGGAGAGUGGGCAUCCUUGGCUUGUUCCCAACCUUAGGGGAAAAGCUUUCAGAUUCUCGCUGUUAAGUAUAAUGUUGGCUGUGGGUUUGUCAUAUAUGGCCUUCAUUAUGUUGAGGUACUUGCCCUCUAUACCCAUUUUGUUGAGAGCUUUUAUCAUGAUGGCUGCUGAACUUUGUCGAAUGCUUUUACAGCAUCUAUGGAGAUGAUCAUAUGGUGUUUAUCCUUCUUUUUGUUGAUGUGGUAUAUGGUGAUGAUGGAUUUUCGAAUGUUGUACCAUCCUUGCAUCCCUGAGAUGAAUCCCACUUGGUCAUGGUGUAUGAUCCUUUUGAUGUAUUUUUGAGUUCUAUUUGCAGAUAUUUUGUUGAGUAUUUUUGCAUCUAUGUUCAUCAGGGAUAUUGGUCUGUAGUUUUCUCUUUUUGUAGCGUCUUUGCUUGAUUUUGGUACUUGAGUGAUGCUGGCUUUAUAGAAUGAGUUUGGGAGUGUUCCCUCCUCUUCUGUUUUUUGGAGAACUUUAAGGAGAAUGGGUAUUAUGUCUUCUCUAAAUGUCUCACAGAAUGCAGCAGUCAAUCUAUCUGGUCCAGGUGGAUUUUGUAUUUGGAUAGUUUUUUGAUUACCAAUUCAAUUUUGUUGCUGUUGAUUGGUCUGUUUCGAUUUUAUGUUUCUUCCUUGGUCAGUCUUGGAAGAUUGUAUUUUUCUCGAAGUUGUCCAAGUCUUCUAGUUUACCCAGUUUCUUAGCAUAUUGAUUUUCGUAGUAUUCUCUAAUAAACCUUGUAUUUCUGUUGUGUCCAUAGUGAUUUUUUUCCUUUCUCAUUUCUGAUACUGUUGAUGUGUAUAGAUUCUCUUUUCCUCUUAAUAAGUCUGGCUAGGGGUUUAUCUAUUUUGUCUGUUUUCUCAAAGAACCAGCUCUUGGUUUCAUUAAUUUUUUUCUAUUUUAUUCUUCUCAAUUUUAUUUAUUUAUUCUCUUGUCUUUAUUAUUUCCCUCCUUCUGCUGACUUGGGGCCUCAUUUGUUCUUCUUUUUCCAGUUUCAAUGAUUGUGAAAUUAGACUAUUCAUUUGGGAUUGUUCUUCCUUCUUUAAAUAGGCCUGGAGUACUGUAUACUUUCCUCUUAGAACUGCUUCGCUGUGUCCCACAGAAGUUGGGUCGUUGUGCUGUUUUCAUUUGUCUCCAUAUAUUGCUUGAUCUCUGUUUCAGUUUGGUCAUUGAUCCAUUGAUUAUUUAGGAGCAUGUUGUUAAGCCUCGAUGUGUUUGUGUGCCUUUUUUGUUUUCUUUGUACAAUUUAUUUCUAGUUUUAUACCUUUGUGAUCUGAGAAGUUGGUUGGUAGAAUAUCAAUCUUUUUGAAUUUACUGAGUCUCUUUUUGUGGCCUAGUAUGUGGUCUAUUCUGGAAAAUGUUCCAUGUGCCCUUGAGAAAAAUGUGUAUCCUGCAGCUUUUGGGUGUAGAGUUCUGUAGAUGUCUGUUAGAUCCAUCAGUUCUAGGAUGUUGUUCAGUGCCUCUGUGUCCUUACUUAUUUUCUGCCUGGUUGAUCUGUCCUUUGGAGUGAGUGCUGUGUUGAAGUCUCCUAAAAUGAGUGCAUUGCAUUCUAUUUCCCCCUUGUAUCUGUUUCAUGUAUGUAGGUGCUCCUGUGUUGGGUGCAUAGAUAAUUAUAAUGGUUAUAUCCUCUUGUUCUACUGACCCCUUUAUCAUUAUGGAAUGUCGUUAUUCUCUCUCUUGUUAUAACUUUCUUUGUUUUGAAGUCUAUUUUGUCUGAUACAAGUACUGCAACUCCUUUUUUUUCUCCCUAUUGUUUGCAUGAAAUAUGUUUAUCCAUCCCUUCACUUUUAGUCUGUGUAUGUCUUUGGGUUUGAAGUGAGUCUCUUGUAGGCAGCAUAUAUCUGGGUCUUGCUUUUUUAUCCACUCUAACUCUGUGUCUUUUGGUUGGUGCAUUCAGUCCAUUAACAUUUAGAGUGAUUAUCCGUAGUUAUGUACUUAACUACCUUUGCAGGCUUUGGAUUCGUGGUUACCAAAGGGUCAAGGGCAGCAGUGCCUGCAGUGCCUGCCGCACGUCACUAGGGGGCGAAGCGGCGCAGGAAGCCGCCCCGGGCUCGCGGGCUCUGCGCGAAAGUCCAAGCGGGCGGCCUGGCGCGUUAGAAAACUGGCGAGGCGGUGGGGGCGGGGCGCGGGGCCGCGAGCCUCCUCCCCUCGGCCAAUCAGCGACCGCGGCGGGCGCCUGUGUGCAGCGCGCGCCCUGUGCGGGGCACUUAUCCUCUGCGCCGGGCGGGGAGGACGGCAGAAGCGGCGUCUCCUCUGUUCCAGUCGGACUCCUCGGGAGGCGCGGCGCGGCCCGGGCGCCCUGGCUGCGGGGCUGCUGAAGGCGGUCUGACGGAAUUUCCCUGCUGACAACUUCGCCGCCGCCUCCGCCCUGUCCCGCGAGGGCAGCCGCCCGAUAUCGGGCCUCCCCUCGAGCGCGUGAGGACUUGGGGCCGGAGGCAGGCGACGGCCGCCCCGCAGUAUGGCCCGCGGGGGUCCCCGCCUGGCCCCGAGCGGCGGCGGCGCGGCGGGCGACCGACUCCAAAGUUGAGCGCAGGCCGGUGGCGCUGGUGGUGGCCGCUCAUGACGCUCCAGCUGCACUUGCUCCAGGUGCUGGUUCAAGGCGGACUCCUCAGGAGCCUCGGCGCGGCCCUGGCACUGGCUGCGGGGCCGCCGAAGGCGUUCUGACGGAAAUUUCCCUGCUUACAACUUCGCCGCCGCCGCUGCGCUCCUGGAGGCCCGCCGCUGCCUGAUAACGGGCCGCUAUGCUGCACCGUAGUGCCCGAGAGCCCGGCCAAAGUUGAGCGCAGGCCGGCGGCGCGAGUGGUGGCCGCUCCGGACGCUCCAGCUGCACUUGCUCCAGGCGCUGGUUCAAGGUAGGCCUGUAUUGCAAUAUACUUCCCUUGGGAGUCUUCCUUGGGAGCUGGGAAAGUCACCUGAGUGGAGGCCAGGAUUCCCCUUCAGAGGCAUCUCCUUGGACGCCAGGGACUGAGGAAGGCCGUGGGCACCUGUGAGAGCCUAGGCUGAGGCUGCACUUCAGCGGCUUCUCAAAGGCCCGCGUGUCUGGGAUCAGACCCCGACAGCCCGACUGGGUAUCCAUGAGGAGUGUCCCUCUUUCUGUCUGCCUGACUUCCAGCCUGCCUCUCCAGGACACCCUGGCCUCUGAGUCAGGUAGGGGGCGUUCCUAACUCUCUUCUAACUUCAUCAGCAUCACGGACCCCGAUGCUCACCACCGCAAGGUAGGAGAUCUACACUUCACUUUUAUUCCUGUCUAAAUGGUGUUCUUUUUAUCUAAUAAAAAUGUGUCUGUGCACCCGUUAGCCACCUAAAAGACAAUUAUCGUCGGCUACCAGUGUUAAGUCUUGCUGAAAGUUUCCUAGUGUGUGCCAUCCAUGAUUCCCACCUCUGGAUAGAUGGGAAUGUCAGGGAGUGGCUGCGCAGAGCUCCUGCUUUCCCCUUGUAAGCUACGGGCUGGGACGGCAGACCGGACUAGUAGACAGUGGUCCUUGGAUCUCGGCUCCGGCCGAUGGAUCCGAUGGCGCGGAGUGAACCUCCGGCUAGGCUGCUGCCUAUGAGAGAGUCACAGAUGACCCCUGACCUCUUGUCUCACCGGUCAGAUUUCUUACAGUGGGUGACUAGCAGGGUGAUUCCCAGGCAGUGGCAGACACUGGUGUUUAAGUGUAGAGACCCCCCCUCAUAAAUGUCCAUGGCAGCCUCUGAAUUUUAUCUGUGGCUUUGGAAAAAGUUCCCUUGCUCCUCAUUCAAAGCCAUCCUCUUAGGUGUGGGCCACUUUCUCCUGUAUAAUGUAAAUGAAGUCUGUGCAGUAGUCAGGCUGAAACCUGAGUCCAACAUGUAAAUGGUUCUAUGCUAUUGACCUCCCUUCCUUAGAGGCAGUCAUCCUGGGGCUGUGGCAUUUCCCUACCUGUAGCUCCAGGGAAGGAAAACAGGCUUGUGAGUCUGACCAAGGCUCUGGCAGUGAUAUGUCACACAGUCCCUACACUUAUCGGACAGGCAGGGGGCUCUCAAGGAAUAAUCCCGAGUGUACUAUGCUAAAGCUUGUGCAAAGAAAACUGGGAUCUAGAUUACAACUCCCAAAAGGCAUAAAGUAGGAGCACACUGGUAAGGUCGCACUAAAAAUCCAGAGCUCUGAGGCGACUCUUGCUUAGUGGGAAGGCAAGAGGGAAAUCAAGGCAAGGUGCAGGCCAUGGUGGUAAGCAGUGGUGAAACCCAGUAGGCCUGGCAGAGGAGGUGAUUGACCACUGUCAGCCAGGCUCCAAGGCGAGGGGACGCCCUCACGGAGAGAGAGGCUGACCAGGUGCUGGAUGUGAGGCCCCACACAGGGAGCACCCUGGCUGGCCUGCGGGGGCCAAGGCAGGUGCAGGCCCCGUAGGUCUUUGUGCCUGUGCGCUGAUGUCACCCCCGUGGUCCUGCCUGGUGGCCCUUCUCCAGAGAGCAUGGGUAGUCACAGGUAAGGGGGCCUCCUUUUGGGGACACCCAGGGCUGGUGUUAGUUAGUGGCCCUUUGCUUGCUGAGGUGACAGGCCAGCUAGAUUGCUGGGAAACUGCUCCCCUCUGUGCUGUCAAGGUGUGAACAUGGCAUUUCACUGCAUUUAGGCACUUAGAUGUGAGUGAGGUCUAUUUGAAAUGGAAUUGUAGCUUUUAGAGCUAUGUUUCUUUCUGUUCCUAUGAAAAAGGUGCUGAGCCUAAGGAGUUGGGUGAAAGUGGCAGGAAUUCUAAGAAUAUUUAUGUCCUUGCAUUUCUGUUUAGGGAAGUGAUUCUGAAGUAAUUUUUUACUCAUAUAUGAAAGUGAUGAGUAAAGUCACAUUAAACAUGUCGAAAUGACGUGAUAAUGUAGUAGAAAUACAGCCCCCACACCUUGGCCUGAUACAUAGGAGACACGCCAUUGGCGCUCUUUGCUCUCCUGUCCUGCUUUCUUACCUUAACAAACUUCAUUGUUCAGAGUGGUCCCAUCCACAUUUCAAGCAAAAUCUUUCUAAAACUGCAUAGAAACACUUGGCAGGAUAUCCCCAGAGACUAGUGGAAAAAUUACUCUUUCUGAUCACUGUUUGCUUGCCAGUUGUUCUCUCUGUCCCGCGUUCCUUUCCUAUUUCUGCAUUUCCUGUGAUUGUAGACCGAGAGGGGCAGUGGUGCGCAUCUCUGCUAGACGAGCCUUUGGGGCUGUUCAGGGGCUGUGCUUCUGUGGUGUUGGCAGUGCUCUUACCUUAAACAUAGCCUGUCCUGUGAAUUAUUCACGCGGGGUUACUUCUCUUAUGCAAUCAAAAUUGUAGAAAACCCGUUAGCUUUUUCUGUUGUGAGUUGUAUUUCAGAUCUAACCCGAUUUCUUAGGCACAGUAUAUGUUCCUUUUGAAUUGUAAGCAUAAAGCAACAGAUCACUUUCUAUGUUCACCUACAUCAUUAGCUGUAAAGAAUUAGAUCAACGUGUAAGUUUCAUC